rnacentral:rRNA from 1 species
CGAUAACGAACGAGACCUUAACCUGCUAAAUAGCCCGUAUUGCUUUGGCAGUACGCUGGCUUUUUAGAGGGACUAUCGGCUCAAGCCGAUGGAAGUUUGAGGCAAUAACAGGUCUGUGAUGCCCUUAGAUGUUUUGGGCCGCACGCGCGCUACACUGACAGAGCCAGCGAGUUCUCCCUUGGCCGGAAGGCCCGGGUAAUCUUGUUAAAAUCCGUCGUGCUGGGGAUAGAGCAUUGCAAUUAUUGCUUUUCAACGAGGAAUCCCUAGUAAGCGCAAGUCAUCAGCCUGCGUUGAUUACGUCCCUGCCCCUUGUACACCCCGCCCGUCGCUACUACCGAUUGAAUGGCU